CGAAUACCGGAGAAUGUUAUCACGGGAGACACACGGCGGGUGCUAACGUCCGUCGUGAAGAGGGAAACAACCCAGACCGCCAGCUAAGGUCCCAAAGUCAUGGUUAAGUGGGAAACGAUGUGGGAAGGCCCAGACAGCCAGGAUGUUGGCUUAGAAGCAGCCAUCAUUUAAAGAAAGCGUAAUAGCUCACUGGUCGAGUCGGCCUGCGCGGAAGAUGUAACGGGGCUAAACCAUGCACCGAAGCUGCGGCAGCGACGCUUAUGCGUUGUUGGGUAGGGGAGCGUUCUGUAAGCCUGUGAAGGUGUGCUGUGAGGCAUGCUGGAGGUAUCAGAAGUGCGAAUGCUGACAUAAGUAACGAUAAAGCGGGUGAAAAGCCCGCUCGCCGGAAGACCAAGGGUUCCUGUCCAACGUUAAUCGGGGCAGGGUGAGUCGACCCCUAAGGCGAGGCCGAAAGGCGUAGUCGAUGGGAAACAGGUUAAUAUUCCUGUACUUGGUGUUACUGCGAAGGGGGGACGGAGAAGGCUAUGUUGGCCGGGCGACGGUUGUCCCGGUUUAAGCG
rnacentral:rRNA from 1 species